ensembl:lncRNA
UGCACGCCUAAUCGCCUAAUUUUCUUCGAGUGAUCUGGAUGCCGUACUCUUGGGCUGUGGAACAUUUUAUAAAUAGCUGUGCUUGGAGUUAAUAUGAUUUACUGGAGAGAGACCGGUUAAGCAAUUCCCCACCUAAGUAGAGCAGUAAUGAACAGGCUCUGGAGAAGAUGCCUUCCCCACCGGCCUUGAGAGGGGUGGGCAGGGAAGCGGGGAUGCAGAGGGACGAUGUUUAUUUGUGUGCGUGCACAGAGUGUCAUUGAUUUUUAAUUGUAUUAAAAGCACUGCAGUAGCCACAGGCUGCCUCUAGGACUGGACUUUUCCCUCCCAUAUGCGCUGGGAAGCUGUGGCCUCUCUUUCCUGCUAAAGGCUUGCUGCCUUCACAAAAUCCCAUUGCGGGCGUGAGUGAGGAUGGCAGAACCCUGACCGAACAGCACAGCCCUCCCCCUUGUCCAUCCACCAGGGAGGGGACAGACAAUCCAUGUUUGGCCGGGGGACUCAGCAGUGCCUGGGAAUACAGGAGAGUGGAUGGCAGCGAUGCUCCUGCCAACACCAAUGGCAUUGAGAAUGCAGCGAGAGCAGCACUGGGGUCUUGUGUCUUCUCUCCCCAUCCUCAGACAAAAGUCACACUGGGAUAAUGCCCCAGGGCUUGGUGGAGCAGUUCUGGGAGCAGGAGGGGCUCUCCAGCAAAUGAAGGGGUAAGAAGAAGCUUAGAGACCACAACAGAGACUUCUCAGCUUAGAAAACAAGAAAAGGAGAAAAUAGAUCAGCUUCAAAGCAAAAAGCAGUGGAGAAAUUGCAGGAAAGCUGCCCAAGGCCAGACCUAUCUCCAUGCAGCAGCCAUCAGAGGCUGUGAAUGAGAACAACACUCUCCCCAUUGUAACAGAGAAGCUCGAUGCUCAUGGACAUACAGAAGGCAGGGGACACUUAGCCCUGUGCAGGGACAGAGAGAGAGGUCCCAGCCCACAGGGCUCACCCUGGCCCGGACACCAUUUAGUCACUGCCCCCUGGGGAAAGGACAGAGCCUCAAACCAACCCAUGGCAACAAGCUGCCCCUAUCCAUAAGGCAGCAUCCCUGGGAGUGGGACCACGUGUGCUGCAGCAUGGGGGCUCAGUCCUGCUCCCAGCCCCGCUCAGACUGCGGCACCCACCGGGAUCCCCAGCAGCUACCGGCCGUCAGCCACAUCCCCACGAGGUGCCUGGGGGAAGUUUGGCUGCUAACCAUGUUGCUGAUUGGUAUAGCCAAAUACCUACCUCUAAGGGAAAAGAAAAAAACUGAAAAAGCCUUUCUCCAGCACGGAGACACAAGCAACGACAGGGGAAGCAGGUAAUUAGCUAUGUGAUGGAGCAAUCCGCUCCUGCCGAGGAAAUUCUUGGCACCGGAAUUCUGCCACAUGAGAACAUGUGUGUACCCAAGUGAGGAUCGAUUUAUUUUAUUUUCUUAUUUGCUUCAUUUAUACAUUUUUUAAUGAAGAUCAUUAUAUGUUUUUUAAAUGUCAAAUGCAGGAGAACUGGAAGGGGUGGGGGUGGGGGAACUGUGGGCAUUCUUCACUUCAGAAGCCUGAAUGUUUCAAAGUUGCUGCUGUGCUGUUAGCUGACGGCUAUUGUGUGUGUUUAAGGCUGGGGGGGCGCAAGGAGGGGGCUCUGACCCCCCGUUGGUGUGGAUUUGCUGUCCAAAGACCGUUAGAAAGAGGCAGAAUGAAUGAGAUUGAAUGGAAUUGUAAUGCACAAGGCCCUCCUCCUUUCUCAAGGAGCUGGGAGGCCAGGAAAGCGAGUCGUGGGGAGAGCAGGCAGCUUUCUUACACAUAGGAAGAGGCUUUGCAAAUCAUCAAAUGGUCGGCCGAGAAGACCAAAAGGAGAAAAAGAGAGAGAGAAAGAGGGAGAGAGGAGACUUGAUAGAAAAAUCUGAUUCCCAAAACUCUUCUUGCCUACACAAAAACAGCAUCCUGAGCCACGGGAGGGCGUUUGCAUUGGAUCUGAGCGAGGCAGCAGAGUUUGUGCCGCCGGAGCCACAGCGCGCUGCUUCCACUGGAGUGGCCUCACUCUUUUCUUGUGCAGAGGCUCAGAGCGCAGCCCGCUGCGCUGCGGGGUCACAACGCGGGGCCGUGGUACCGUCCCCUUUGCACCCCGACAACGCGCAGAAUUAAAUCACGAGCCCGCUUUUGCUUCUCCGAAAGCCGAAUGGGUGCAGCGACGUGAGGGGCUGCAGCAUCACAGCCGCCCCGGUGCCACCUCCGCCGCCGCGCCGUCACCGCAGCCUCAAGGUGAGACGCGGCCCCUUCCGCAGUUUCCCCGCGGCGGUUCGUAGGUUAGCCUUCAGACCUCAAUAAAUCUCUUUGUAAGACUCGUGUUUUCAGCUUCCUAAAGACACGCCGAGCCCCAAGUCCUGAGCCUCCUGAGCGCUGUACUCACGCAAGGGAAUAUCUCAUUAUUUGGCCGUGUAGCUGGAUUCAGCCGCACACCCUCCGCACCCCCUCCCCUCUUCAUCUCUGCUCCACUUUUAUCAGCAUUGCGUCUGUCCGAGGAAGUGAAUCCAUAGACAGCUCCAUCCUCCAUCCCUGCAGUGGCUGACGUGGGACGCACCACCUUGUCUGCGACAGAGAUGCCGGUAGCAGAGCGUUUUCCUUGUUUAGGAGAGGGGCAAGAACACCCCUACUGCACCUUGCGGGAUUGCUUGGUUUCACGCUCGCCUGUGAAAAGCAGGCGCCUUUAGGGAGGGCUCCUGGGGGAAGAGGGACGAGGAAAGGGAAGAAGCACCGGAGGACACUGCGUGGCGGUGAGGAAGGGAGCUGCCCAGCUCUCGAGGCUGUUCUGCAGCAGACGCGUCGCACGAACGAGCAGUUGGGAACGGGUGUUGCCUGCAGCCCUGGGAAGAGGCAGCAGUGAGGAAGCACGCGAUGCCCAUACGGCUACAUCCAGCGGUGCGGCAAUCCGCUCCUCCUGCGGACCUGAUCCUGAGCGUUGCUCCAGCAAGGCCAGGUAUCGUGUAACUGCAGACACGCUUGGGGCGAGUGGCUGUGAGGCACGGGCAGCCCCAAACUCACCAGGAGGGCUCUUGAGGCACAGAGGUGUGUAAGAGAAGCUGGAUUUUCCCCAUUCCCUUUCCCAGUAGAUCAGCGCAAGCAGCAAGGUGUUGGAGACCUGCUUGCUCUCACGUCCGUCAAGCACUGCAAGGCUGCAGGACACAUUUUUGACCUCAUUUGCCCCCACCAUAAAUCAGGGGCUAAGUGGUGAUGUGCUCACUGCUGGGGUCGGGACAUCUGCACCACCCUGGCCUCUCUGGUGCACACUGGGGGGCAGAUUGCCAGUCAAGGGGCUAUUCUGCUCUUGAAAUGCCUGGUUCUUUGCAAAAUAGGUAUAGAGGGAUAAGGAGCCAAGUUCAGGGAGCCAGGCCCCUCUAAACCAAAAACGGCCUCAGGGACAGAAGGGAGCAAGCCACGAGGCAAUCUGCAGUGCAGCAGGAAAGCUGCUGGCUCCCUCCAGGGGCCACCAAGAAGCCAAGGACAGCUCUGCAAGAUGCAGGUAAUGGGGAGCUGCCAGGGCCAAUCUGCACUGGGCCUGGUUCCCGACACUGGGGUGUGAAGGGGAUCAUGGAUCGAGACCCACUGUGUCAAGACGGUGCCAGCCAGCUCCUGCUCCUGGACCAGAAUCCUGUCCAGGUUUGCAGAGGAGGGAGCGCAUGGACUCUGCAGCACAAGGGACUACUAUGAUGCACAAACACUCCCUCCUCUCCCGAGAUUCCUAUGGUCCCCCUUCCAAGACAAGAGGGAAAUCAAAGAGGUCAGGUGUCUCAGACUAAACCUUCUUUCUCACACACAAAGUGCCCUCGAACGCAAGCACGCACAUUUCUCCAGUGUCCCCAGGCUGCAGCUGGGGCUCUGUAGGAUUGCCCUGAGCGCACUCCCCACUGCAGCGUGGCUACACAGCCGUGAGCCCAGAGUCUGCUGUGCUGCAUUGAGCUUGUCACGAUUGCAUACAUUCUGCAGUCACAAGAGAUGAGAGCACAAGGCAGCGAGUCAGAUCAGCUGCAGCUGGGGGAGGGAGAAGCAGGAAAGGCUGGGGACAAGCAGCCAUGGUCUCGCUUUGCACGUCUCCUUCUCGUAUACCGACCCCUGCUUGUUUAGGUAAGCCAGGACCCAAAUGCCAGAUGACGGCCAAUGUACGUCCAUAAAAAAAUACCCCUCUCUCAUCCACCGUGCUUUGUGCUCAGCAAUGGGAUCCCACGUGCUCAGGGAUGCAGUCCCACCUCUGUGCCAAAGGCAGCCCAUGAGACCUGGCUGCCUGCCAUCCUGCAGUGGCCCCCAGAUGGGGUCUCACUGUGCCCGGGUUCAGCUGGGGGCAGCUCCCCGGGCCAUACACCCUGCAGCCCCAGAGCUGCACUGUCAGCCACAGCCCUGACAUCCUGCCACAGAGCCACCUCCAGCACCGGGCACAUAUUCAGAAGGAGGAUUUAUCCAAGAGCAGAUGCACUCCUGGGCCACUCGUGGCUUUAGUGGAGCCAAGUCCUGUUUUCUGAUGGAAAAACCCCGGGAAAUAGGAACUGCGCUUUGUAACAGAGGGGUUGGGUAAGGCCAUUCUAUGACUAAGUCACCACAAAGGGCAAAUUGCCACUUUAUUUUCUCUGUGGGGUUGCCCCACACUCAGGAGAGCUACACAAUUUCCCUCACAAGGGGAAAGCACAGCAGGAUCCAAGCUGAGGGCAAGGAGGAAGGUUGGCCUUCACCCCCCCCCCCCCCAAGCACCCCUUCCUCGCAGUACACAAAGCACCGGUUCCCAUCCCUCAUUCACAGGCCAGCUGGCCAGGGAGCAGCUUUACGUAUGACUGCUUCAUCCUAUACAAAUCCUGCCAUCAGUCAUUAAAGACAGAUUAAAACAAAAAAAAAAAAUACAUGUCUGUGCUCUCGAAUCACCACGUAGCAGAUGGAGCUGUCCUGCAUCCCCCUGCAUGUGCCAGGAGGGCCCCGGGUUUGGGAUAUGCUGAGAAAUACACGGACGGGUUGCAGAUGGGAUAAGGAGAAACAAAUGUGGGCAGAUGAGUGAUAUCAAAGGGUGAACUUAAAAAGAAAGAGGUUAAGGGAAAGAUGUUAACAGUCAAGUGCUUAAGAAGCUGCAGUAAGGGGAGGGGACGAUGUGCCUUCCUAUAGCGAUAUAGGUAGGAACGGGCUGAACCUGAAGCAGAAAUCAUUCGGGUAGUAGGAAAAGAGCUUUGCAGUGGAAAGGAUGCAGAAGCACUGGAGCAGCCUGGGAAGGAGGAGAAAUUCCCAUCUGGGGGAGGUACGGGGGAAGGGCCUGGCAGCACUCCCUGUGCAGUGCUGGUCUCAGCAGUCCUAUGCAGGCAUCCCCAGCACACAAAGUGACUGCUCCACUGGCAUCACGCACCCAUCUGCCCCAGAACUGAAUAUCUCCCUCCUGCCAACCCCCUCCCCUCCCAUCCAUCUUUACCUUCUUUCCCGGAGCCGAAGUGUUUCUGUGUCACCACAGAGACCUGGAAAGGGAUGGCAGAAGGCAGUGCCUGUAAAAGCCCAGGGCUGCUGUCCUGCUUUGAGAACAGGGCAGAGGCAUCCCGACAGCAGCGAUCGAAUUCAAGGUGUCAUUGUCCUUUUCUUCCAGAAAGGUAAGAGCUUUCCAGAAAGACUCACAGCUCCAGGCUGCUGCGCCAGGUGUACAAUAAGAUCAAGCCCACAGAAUCAAUCCAGUUUGGGGUUAUUCCCUCACCCAAUUUGUCCCACGCCAGCUCAAAACCGACCGAUUAAGCUCUAAUACCCCCAGGUGAUGUAUCCCAAAUGCCAUCCCGGAGGGACCGCUGUUUUCUCUGCUCUCCUAAUAGGCCCCUUUCUGUGAGCAGCACACCUUGUUGGGUGCGUUUGCAGAAAUAGGAAAUCAGAGGUAACCCGAUGUGUACAGGAGGGCAUCGGCUGUAAGGCAGGUACACAUAUGGCCGUGUCUUGAAGAUGACAUGCGCAGGGGACCUGCAGAAUCAGAGAAGCAUUCAGAGAAGUUGCUCAAGGAUCCUGCCCUCCAUCUGCCCCUCUCUCCGGAGGGGUUUUGGGGUUGUCAGGAACAUUCACCUCACCUGCAGCACAGCUUUCCCAGCCCGGGCUGUGUGCUCUGAGCCUAAGCUAAGGGGCUCUGUCCAUGGGGACGGCCUCUCCACUGCACAGUCCGUGCUGCAGAGCGGCUCUCCCCAUCACACAAUGGCUGCAGGGCCAUUACAGCACAAGGAUCACCUUCAGGAGGUGUUCUCGUAGCCCUGCAGGUAACUCCACCGGCAGCUGCUUGAGCAGGCAGCACCUUCUUAAAUUCCUAUCGCCCUUCUCACAAAGGAAGAGCCGAGACAAAACCGGUUCCUGCUUAAGCGGAGGAAACAAUAGCGGGACAAAGCCACACUCCGUGCUGCAAAGGCGCGGGUGGCCGCAGGAUGGCACUCCUGCCGCUUGUCCUUGAGGGACGGGAGAGCUGUGCCGGG